rnacentral:rRNA from 1 species
CAACUUUCAGCAACGGAUUUCUUGGCUCUCGCAUCGAUGAAGAACGCAGCGAAAUGCGAUACGUAAUGUGAAUUGCAGAACUCAGUGAAUCAUCGAAUUUUUGAACGCACCUUGCGCUCUCUAGUUAUUCUGGAGAGCAUGCUUGUUUGAGUGUCGCGA